AAACAGCAAAUAAUGAAUUAAUAAUCCCUGCAUUAUAAUCUAUCUCAGUCUGAAUAUAAUAACAUUGUCAAGAUCUGAUUUUUUUUUAUUGCUAUAUGCAAUCAAAGAUUUAUGCUCUGCAUUCCAUUACAAUCUCUCACCUUGCUUAAUGGCACCACCAGUGUGAUUCAUUGUUGAAUCUGACCCUCUUUUCAGAAAGGUGUUGCUAAUUUGAAGACUAGUAAUUGCAAAUGCAUUUCUGAUAAACUGAGUUAGUUGAUCUUUGAGUGCCACAUAUGUAGAUUCCAGCAAAUCUGCUACCGUAAAAGGAAUUAUGCAAAACUGGAUCCCACAAAUUGUAAAAUUAGACCCAACUAGCUGACGGAAUUGGGGUUUUAUUGUAGAAUGAGUGUACCAGACUAACACGGCUGCUACUCUGAAACCUGUACCAGACUUGGAAUCGAUUCCCAGCUCUGCCAUUGACGUGCUUGUUGACCUUGAGCAAGUCAUAACCAUUCUGGGCCUCAGUUUCCCCACCCAUUAAUGGAGAUAACACUCACUUUUCACAAUGCUUUGAGAUCUGAGGAUUGAAAAUGUUUCUGAUAACACAGAUAGGGCUUGAUUUUUCAGAGGUGAUGAGCACCUGCAGCUUCCACUGAGUCUAGUUUGAUGAGCCAGUGGUUUUAUGCACCAUAGGCCUGAUUGUCAUCUUGCUUAUACUCACAUAACUCCAUUGAGAGCUGUGGAGUAACUCCUGAUUUACACCCGUAGGAAUGGAGAAUCAGGCCACCUGCUCUUCUCUCUAUUACACCUGCUGGUAAUUACUUCCACCUUUAAAGUGGCUUUAAAUUGAGAACAAAUUUUAUAAUCAAUCAUUCCAAAUAUAUUUAACAGUCAGACUAACUCCUGGGCCAGGGGCUCUCAUACUUCACAGAGCAUGAACCCUCAUCAUUCAUGUUAAUGGAGUAUCUUCUGAACAUCUCCCCUGCCAAUCAUGAGUGCAUAUCUCACCUGCCUUCCUAUUUCUGAUCCCAUAACAUCCCUGGUGCAACUACAGCAAUUGCGUAGGUGGAGAAGUAUUUGUAUAUUUUAGCUGUCUUCAAUGUGGUAUAAAGCCCUUUUGUUUUUUUCAUUGACUCUUCAAAUCCUAUCUAUUCUUUUCCUCUCUCUGCCCCUACUCCACAGCACAUGUUUCUCUGCCACUUGUUCCCAAUCUCUUCCCUUUCUCCUGGAUGUAUUUCCCAGUAGCUUAGUCCUCCUCUUCCCCCAGCUCCCCGUCUCCCUUACUCACCCGCCUGGUCUGCUUUAUUCAUACUUCCCUGGACAUACAGCCUGGCCAUCUCUUUUUAGUCUUCCAUGAACAUUUGUCCACAGUCCCCGUGAGUAGUCUUUGCUUCCUCUCUAUAGUAUAGGGAGUUGGCAGAUGACAUUAUUAUAGUUUUACAUGUUCUGUUUGACUGACCCCAUAGGCAAUUAGAUCUUGGAGAAAUGAUAGUAUGGUGCAAGUUAGUGGGGGAUUGGGUUUUUUUUUGUUGUGCUUUCUUUUAAGCAGAAAUUAAGCAGACACUAAAGCUGCUUCUCUGUGCCUUGGUCUUUCUGACUCAAUUGCUUCAUCAGUGCCAAGCUGUUGUCUACAGAAUAUAAUCAUGCAAGUGUAAAAGCAUUUAGUUCCAAAUAAUCUCAAACACACAUUUCUCAUGAAGGGAAAGAAACUUAUAACAGAGUAGAAAAUAAUUUACAUUCCUUAGCUUUCCUCAUUUCUCCAAGGCUCCCACCUACUUAACCCCAGGUAAACUUUGUAUCAGCUUAUGACAUCCGGUGAAAGUACACUACAGCUUAUUAAAAUUUAAAGCCAUUGCUCCCAGGGAAAACACUGAAAGCUAUUUUAUGGAUUAGCCAGUGGGCAGGAUGAGGCUUGUACUUUGUAUCUUUUUGAUAAUAUAGCCUGUUAGAAUAUCUUUAUAAAAUAAAAGUCAUCCCCCCUGUGCA